GAACGGCUAUCCUCAACAGUGUGUAUAGGCUAGAACUUUCAGUUUGCAUUUAGGGUCAAAAUAUAUUGUUACAGUCAUGACAGCUUUCCCGUUGCUGUCAACAAACUUUAACCUUUCAUAACUUUUCAGAUCUUGGUGUAUUGUCUUCAUACUUGGCCACAACAACCCUUCAAAUAGACCAGACUAAACUUGACCUCCAUAUAAACAUUCAAGAUGGUCGGCCUACAUGUCAGAUUUGUAAAUGUGAACGGCACGAUAUUGAUUUUAAGGAUGCUUUAGGGUCAAUGAGGAUGAAAUAAAAUGUGAGACUGUCAAUCUGACAAACCUUGCAGUGAAUAAAUGGAAACAGUGGCGUUUGUAUGAUAGAACAGUAAUAGCAGGAGUGAUAAGGACAGAUGCAUGUAGAUGUGUCUUCAUGUCGGAAACACUAGAGAAAUUGACACAUUUGGUUUUUCAAAACUGAAAGAAAUUGGAAUACCAGGAGACUGCUUGCCAUUUGCAAUGUUGGAAUGUGUGAUGUCGAAAGCCUCAUGAAUAUAGUAACUUGACUUAAUCUAAUAAGAAAAAGAAAAGACAUUGAGGAGAAAACUAGUCACCAGUCUUUCACCUAGAACAUGAGAUAACUUUCCAAUAUUUGAAAUAUUAUAAUAUGUAUAGAACUUGAAUGAGUGACAUGAUAUGUAUUGAUAUUGAAUGAGCGACCAGUUUUUCACCAGGAAAAUAAGAUCACUUAUCUAUUUUUGAAAUAUGUAUGAACAGAACUCUAUCAACUUCAAGGUGAGAGUUUAUCAUGAAGAACAUGAGAUAACUUGUGUAUGAACAGAACCACAUUUGAAUAUAGAGGCGCCAGUUCAUCACAAAGAAGAUGAGCUAACUUAUCAAUGUUUGAAAUCUGUUAUACCCCUGCACAACAAAGUUGUAAGGGGGCUACACUGG